GUGUUUUUCAUAGUAUUAGAUAUAAGAUUAAUUAAAGGAGACGUACCCGCUUGUGAUAAGUAAGUACAUCAAAAACAGAAGCGUCUGUUUGAUUGAUAAAUGUGUAAGGAGCAUCGGUUUACCAGAGCCGAUGCUUUUUUUA
rnacentral:sRNA from 1 species